rfam:Xenopus tropicalis strain Nigerian Chr04_contig_1271, whole genome shotgun sequence.
GUCAGGAUGGCCGAGUGGUCUAAGGCGCCAGACUCAAGACUAGCAGUCUUCCGCUGAGCGGGUGUUCUGGUCUCCGAAUGGAGGCGUGGGUUCAAAUCCCACUUCUGACA